GCUUAGAGAGGGGUCAAUGUCCUAUCAGCUAGUUGGCAGGGUAAUGGCCUACCAAGGCUAAGACGGGUAGCCGGCCUGAGAGGGUGGUCGGCCACACUGGGACUGAGACACUGCCCAGACUCCUACGGGAGGCUGCAGUCGAGAAUCUUUCGCAAUGCCCGAAAGGGUGACGAAGCGACGCCGCGUGUGGGAAGAAGGCCUUCGGGUUGUAAACCACUGUCGGGAGUUAAGAAAUGUAAGGGUGUUAAUAGCAUCCUUGCUUGACUAAGGCUCCGGAGGAAGCCACGGCUAACUCUGUGCCAGCAGCCGCGGUAAUACAGAGGCGGCAAGCGUUGUUCGGAAUUAUUGGGCGUAAAGAGCACGUAGGCGGCUUUGUAAGUCAGUUGUGAAAGCCUUCUGCUUAACGGAAGAACAGCAUCUGAUACUGCAAGGCUAGAGUACGGAAGGG
rnacentral:rRNA from 1 species